GACGAACGCUGGCGGCGUGCUUAACACAUGCAAGUUGAACGAGAAUUUUUCGAGUGAUUUCUUCGGAAUGAUCAUGAAAACGGAAAGUAGCGAACGGGUGAGUAACACGUGAGAAACCUGCCUUUCACAAAGGGAUAGCCUCGGGAAACCGGGAUUAAUACCUUAUGAAACCACACACUCGCAUGAGAGAUUGGUUAAAGAUUUAUCGGUGUUAGAUGGUCUCGCGUCUGAUUAGCUAGUUGGUGGGAUAAAAGCCUACCAAGGCAACGAUCAGUAGCCGGAUUGAGAGGUUGAGCGGCCACACUGGAACUGAGACACGGUCCAGACUCCUACGGGAGGCAGCAGUGGGGAAUUUUGCAAAAUGGAGGAAACUCUGAUGCAGCGACGCCGCGUGAGUGAUGAAGGUCUUCGGAUUGUAAAGCUCUGUCCUUAGUGAAGAUAAUGACAGUAACUAAGAAGCAAGCCCUGGCUAAAUACGUG
rnacentral:rRNA from 1 species